rnacentral:rRNA from 1 species
ACUCUGGGAUAAGCGUUGGAAACGACGUCUAAUACUGGAUAUGAUCACUGGCCGCAUGGUCUGGUGGUGGAAAGAUUUUUUGGUUGGGGAUGGACUCGCGGCCUAUCAGCUUGUUGGUGAGGUAAUGGCUCACCAAGGCGACGACGGGUAGCCGGCCUGAGAGGGUGACCGGCCACACUGGGACUGAGACACGGCCCAGACUCCUACGGGAGGCAGCAGUGGGGAAUAUUGCACAAUGGGCGAAAGCCUGAUGCAGCAACGCCGCGUGAGGGAUGACGGCCUUCGGGUUGUAAACCUCUUUUAGUAGGGAAGAAGCGACUGAGUUUACUCUGAGUGACGGUACCUGCAGAAAAAGCACCGGCUAACUACGUGCCAGCAGCCGCGGUAAUACGUAGGGUGCAAGCGUUGUCCGGAAUUAUUGGGCGUAAAGAGCUCGUAGGCGGUUUGUCGCGUCUGCUGUGAAAUCCCGAGGCUCAACCUCGGGCUUGCAGUGGGUACGGGCAGACUAGAGUGCGGUAGGGGAGAUUGGAAUUCCUGGUGUAGCGGUGGAAUGCGCAGAUAUCAGGAGGAACACCGAUGGCGAAGGCAGAUCUCUGGGCCGUAACUGACGCUGAGGAGCGAAAGCGUGGGGAGCGAACAGGAUUAGAUACCCUGGUAGUCCACGCCGUAAACGUUGGGGCGCUAGAUGUAGGGACCUUUUCCACGGUUUCUGUGUCGUAGCUAACGCAUUAAGCGCCCCCGCCUGGGGAGUACGCCCGCAAGGCUAAAAACUCAAAAGGAAAUUGACGGGGGGCCCCGCACAAAGCGGGGGAAGCAUGCGGGAUUAAUUCCGAUUGCAACCGGGAAGGAACCUUUACCAAAGGCUUUGACAAUACACCCGGAAAACGGCCCAGAGAAUGG